CAAAGUUUGGUUAUACCUACGGGGGCUAGACCUGUGGUGUCAUCAUCCAUACGGUUUUACCGUCUGGUAGUUGUAGCAAUAUUAUUAUCGUUAGUAGCUCACGCCUGACAUAAUAUUUUGAUAAAUCUAAUACAUUUUUAGAUUUAAAUAUGACUUUUAUAACUGAAUAAAUACUUUUCUUCUACAAAAAUAUAGAGAGACAAUCUCGUUGAAUAUUGUUUUAGUAACGCAUGGGUAAGAUUUUCUAAACGAAGUGUGGCAACCCCAAUUACUUAAUAAAAAAUAAAAAUGUUAUAAAAUGAAAAUGGCGUCAUUUCACCAAAUAUUUUAAAACACAAAUUCACGAAUAAUAAAAUAAAUGUUUGCAACGGCCUGUUAAUAUUUAUGAAGACCUCUUCAUGGAUUGGAUUUAAGCAACCUGCUGUGUAAUAUUCUCGCCAUUCUUGAUGUUGAGAAGAUCUAUAAGUCUUUUACGUUUCAUCUGAGUGUUGUGGUUUUUCAUUAUGUUAAAAAUAAGACUUUGUUAGUUCAAGUGUCUCUAUAACUAUGAAGAAGAACAAAAAAAAUGCUUUGAGUGUGGUUCUUCGCCUGCCAAUGAUCCAGAGAAGACCCUACAGAGAUUACCGAAACUUGAUUCUACAAAUUUAGUCUCCGGUAGCUUAAUCUGGAGCAACAUAAGGUUAAUUAUGAAAUGGUAAUGAAAAUAAACAUCUGAGAAAAGCAAAUUCCAUGAACUAAUUUGAAAGUAUCUGUUAACAGAAGUAAAUUUUUUACUAUACCACUGUUCAAUAUUAAACCACAGGUAUAUGUACUAAAGGCAGGUAGAGUAAAAUUUGAGUUUUAUUUUUGAAUCUAUAAUAAGUAGUUUAUAAUUAUGUAAUGAUGAACCAGAACAAUUUGUUAAUUUGAAACUACAAUUACAAGUUUUUAUAAUUAUGUUAGGCACUAGGCAGACUAAUGAAGAGUAUGUUACUUUACUUUGUACGAAAAUCUGUUCUUUGACAUGAUUAUAGAAUAAGAUGAUAAGUGAUGAUGCAAUUUAAGAUGGAAGCGAGAUAACUAGUUAGGCAAAGGAUGAAAAUCCACACACAUUUCUGUUUCUACAUAAUAUCUCACCGGAACACUAAAUCGCUUGCCAGUAGGGUAUUAACUAGCCAGCCAGACAUAGACCAGAAAGAAAACAUCAAUCGGCCCAGCCGGGGAUAGAACCCAGGACUUUUGCGUAGUUAAUCCACUGUGCUACGGAGGCCAUUUCGGCAAUAUUUUUCUUGCCUUGAUCUAUAAAAGCUUUUGCCAAUAAUAAGCUACAUUUUUCAUUGAAGGUUGUUUGAAAGAAAUAGCUUUUAGCUAUAAGACCUAAGCUUUGCACAUUUUACUUUUUUUUUCUUUUUGACAAUGUAGCGUCUGUGAACAGUUGAGGAAUUCCCUCAUCUGUGUUUCUGUUCUAUCAUAAGAUUGCCUCCGGACAUUUUAGUUAUAUUUCUCACCUGGUUCUUGUCAAGGUUUUGUAAUAAAUAAUAAUAACAAAUGAACUAAGUAAAAAUGGCUAUGUGGUUAGUCUGUCUGCCGUAGAAGUAGGUGCAAGAGGAUUACCAACAAAAUCUUUCUAUAACUUGUUUAAAGACCUUGGCAUCUUUAGGACUGCAGCAACUUCUAUGUAGAAGAAAGAGAGAAAGAAGAAUAAGUAUCCAAAGCUGCUUUUAGUAAGAUCUUACCAAAUUUGGCUAAGCAGGGAGAACAACACAAGUAGGGGAGUUUAAUCAAUUGUCAAGGAAUUCCUUAACCCUACAUCCUGUAGUCACAACUCCAGGACUCUGCUCGGAGUAUUUCUCUCUACCAGGCGAUGGACCUGGCACCUGCACGGAAUGCUAAGAUAUUCAUCUGUCUCUUCAUGCGUAGUAUGUUUAUGUAUUUUUAAUUAAAUUUACUCACUCUCUUUAUUUCAGUAAUGUCCAGAUAAUCAAUGAUUAGACUAUUGGACAUUUAGAAUAAAUUUUACAUUGAACUAUGAAUGGUUUGUCAUCUACAUUUUUAAAAAAGACGAGAUGUUUUGCCUGUAAGAAGAAGAGAGAGAGAGAGAAUAAGAAGUUAAGUUAAACACCUACUGUAAAAUGCACACUGCUCCAAUGUGGGUUGAUAGGCUUGGGGUAAUAAAGUUAAAUUAUAAAAGGAUCACUAUCAGGUGUUAAUGAUAAUGACUGGGAUAUAUAGCAUAUCAUACUCUCUGAGAUAUAGGGAUAUAACACCAGCAACAGCUCUCCAGUGAUGCAGUACAUAGCAUCAUUGCUCUUUACAUCUACACGCCAUAGCCAGUUGUGGCAAUCGAACUCAUCAUAUUAGUGUGAUGAUCAUGGAUGUAUUUCAGUGUCUAUGUGGUUGUGAGUGUAUGCCCAUGUUAAAUAACAAGUAAUGGCCCAAAUAAUAAGUAGCCUAUAUGUUGCUCAAUAAUCUUCUCUAUCUUCCAGUAAAAGUCCCAUUAAAAUGACCCUGCUGUUCCAGAGAUUAGCUCAAACAAACAGACAGAUGAACAUUUUAAAGAAGUAUGACUGUAUGUCAGUAUUGUAUAUAGGCACUUGAGAAAACACAGUUAUUUUGAAAUCACAGACAUACACUUAAAUUUUAUUUAUAUGUAUUGGUGCUGUUCAUAAAUAUAGCAUCAGCUGAAACAAACUAGGCAUAGUUAAGUUACAUUUUAUACAGGGUGCUCGGGACUAUUUCUCAUAAAUUCAAGGUGUUGACAAGUCCACUUAUAGGAGCUAUCUUAGCUACUAGUUUAUAUUGAGGAGAACUUUCCACCUAGAUGGGUUGUGACUGUAUUAGGGGUCUGGUGAUGAAGACGAAGGACAGUUAAGAGAACUCCUCAACGGUUCACAAUAGCUACCAUGUGUUGAUAAAUUUGUAUUGAUGAGAACUUUCCACCUAGAUGGGUUGUGACUGUAUUAGGGGUCUGGUAAUGAAAACAGUGAAGGGAACUCCUCGAUGGUUCACAGUAGUAAUUAGUUUGAUUCUAAGUCAGACGCAAUCAAAUACAAUGUUUUAUCACGGCUCAUAGCAACAUACCUUGGGCGCUAGAUCAAUAUCUAGGAUGAUUUCACUAAAAAUGGAAAAAUAAAAAUUUUUAAUAAAAGAAAUUCAACCAACUUCAAAAACAUAAAACAUACUGGCUAAACUAAAAAGCGAAAAAUAAUAUUAUACUAAGUUCAUAUCAUAUUAUGUUCUAACUGAUGAUCAGUUUGAAGGCUGUGCUAAACCGAUGUUGUUUUAAUUUAAGCUGUUACUGAAAGAACUACAUGAAAAAACACUGUCAGAAAAACCUAAAUAUUUAUGAUAUUCUUACAUGGCUUGAAUUAAUACAUCAUUGGGCUAGCACCACCUUCAAACUGAUCAUCAGUUAGAACAUAAUAUGAUAUAUAGAACUUAGUAUAAUGUUAUUUUUCGUUUUUUAGUUUAGUAAGUAUGUUUUUGAAGUCGGUUGACUUGUUUUUAUUAAAGUUUUUUAAUACACAUGUUCCUUAGACAUUUUAAAUUAAUUUUCCUUAUAGAACUUGGGGCUACCCUAGAGUUAUGGGAAAUACUCCCGAGCACCCUAUAGAUGCUACUUAAUCCUACUAAUCCUUCAUUCAUCAGUAUCGGUUGGUGGGCUUGGAGUUUAUAAAGUAUAUAUAAUUUAUUUAUGAACAUUCCUCAUUCAGUUGAGCUUUUACUACCCAUAACACAAGCUAAGCUUACUUUGAGUUAGUGAUAUGUGUAAUGUGUUAAUAUAAAUAUUAACCAACUUUCUGCAGUUUGAGAAUACGCGGAUAAAAUAUAGCCUAUGAUACUCAAAAAUAACGUGGCUUUCUAGUGGUAAAAGAAUAUUCAAAAUUGGUUCAGUAGAUCCAGAGUUUACCUGCUAGAACACCACUAACUUUACCUCUUUAUAAUACAUACUAGCGGACGACCGCGACUUCGUCCGCGUAAAAAUCGAUGUCAACUUUCAACCCCCAUUUCACAUUCUAUUUUGCAAGUUUUAUAACUUAUACCUUGUACCUAAAAAAAUUAAGGACUUUCCGUACAAACUUUCUACCCCUACUUCACCCAAUUCUGAUUUUGUUUUCACGACAAAAAGUAUCCUAUUAUCCUUCUACGUAUUAUGGUCUCAAAUCGUCUUAAGUAUCAUUUGAAUUCAUUCUGUAGUUUCAGCGUGAUGCCCGGUCCGGAGGCAAACAGACAGACAAAAAAUAGAAAAUAGGCUUCAGUAUCGAUCUCCUACCUCUACCCUACUCCUACCCUACCCGUACCCUAACUGUAUCCUACCCCUACCCUACCCGUACCCUACCCUACCCGUAAUCUUCCCUUUCCCUACCCCUAGGAUAGGGGUAGGCCCUACCCUUACCCUACCCCUAACCUAGGCAUACACUCCCCUACCCCACCCUACCCCUACCCUACCUUUACCCUACCCUUACACAACCCCUACCCUACCUGUAUCCUACCCUACCCUACCCUAUACCUUCCCUACCUUACCCCUACCCUUAGCAAAAUCGGUCCAGCCCUAUGAGCGUGGUGCGAUGACAAAGGAAAAUAGAGACUUCUAUGCUAAAAUUAUAAUCUUUGGAUCUACUGGACCAAUUUGAAAGAUUGUUUUACCAAUAGAAAGCUACGUUAUUUGCGAGUGUUAUAGGCUAUGUUUGAUUCCCAUAUUCGCACAGGAACUGGAACCACGUAAUUGAAAGCGCGGGGCGUCAUGUAGCAGAAUUUCUGCGUCUUUGAGAAAUUUUGUAUUAUCUCCGAAACUAUUUAACUAAUUAACAUACUAUAAAGGGCAAAUCUUAUCUCUAUAAUAUCCUUGUGAUUAUUAAAUAAUUUAUUUUGAUAAGGAUUUAAGUUAAGUAGCAUAAAUAAUGACGCAAACCUAAGUAUAUAAAAUUUAUAAUUUUUAAAACACAAAAGGUACUAUAUCUGCUAAAAUAUAGAAGAUAGAUAUAUGAUGUCGCGGACUUUUUUGUAGAAUUUUUAAAGAUACAUAAAGCCUCCAUACAUUAAUUUCAAUUUUACACAAUGGUUAAGGCAACGCAUGCGAAUAAGUCUGCUUAAGAGGAUUUUCGGUCUGACCUGUAUGACAAAAACUUUUUUUGAAAUCAGACUAGUAGUUCCGAAGAUUACCCCAUUUAAAAAAUGUGACAAACUAACAAACUUUACCUCUUUAUAAUAUUAGUAUAGAUAUAGAUUAACAACCCAUUUUCGGCUCAUUGUUGAGCACGAGUCACUUCUCAGGACGAGAGGGGUUAGGCCUUAGUCCUCCAUGCUGGCCCAAUGCGGAUUGGCAGACUUCACACACCUAGACAAUUAAGAAAAUUCUCAGUUAUGCAGGUUUCUUCACAAUGUUAUGCUUCACCAUUUAAGACAUUUAAUUUCAAAAUGGGUUGAAUACAUAUUAGUAUAGAUUUUUAUUGUUAGUUUCUUGAAAGAAGGAAAUGCUCAAUAUUUCAUAGACCAACCCAGGACUCAAACUCAGAAUUUCAUGAUAGUUACACUGAACCAAUAAAGCAGUUAGAGAGAGAGAGAGAGAGAGAGAGAGAGAGAGAGAGAGAGAGAGAGAGAGAGAGAGAGAGAGAGAGAUAAAUAAGAGUUUAUUAUGUAUUAAAAUUAAAAUAUAUACCUAAUGCUUUCAGCAAUCCUGCUUCUUCACAUGAAUUUUACCGGCAUGACGAUGGUUUUUAAUAUAAAAAAUAUUUACACAAUGUCUCAAAAAGCAAUCAAAGCUUUGAAAAAUAAACAAUGUUCGCAGAAGUUCAGUACCAACAAACUCACAAAAAAUGAGCCCAAAUUUAGCAUUACUUGCAAGCCAGACUAAGAAAUUUCAAGAAGAUAAUUUAAAAGAAGACAAUAGAAUAAAAUAAUAUUAACACACAAUGCUUAGCAAAUAUAGCAUUAACAGAUGGAAACCAGGCAAUAGGUGUAGCAAAAUAGAAGAUGAAGGUCUAGCUGUGCCAGUCAGUGCUGAGCCACACAGUUGCUGCUGGCAUGUUUGCAAAAUAGCACAAGGUGUAGCAAAAUAGAAGAUGAAGGUCUAGCUGUGCCAGUGCUGAGCCACACAGUUGCUACUGGCAUGUUUGCAAAAUAGCACAAGGUGUCGCAAAAUAGAAGAUGAAGGUCUAGCUGUGCCAGUCAGUGCUGAGCCACGCAGUUGCUGCUGGCAUGUUUGCAAAAUAGCACAAGGUGUAGCAAAAUAGAAGAUGAAGGUCUAGCUGUGCCAGUGCUGAGCCACACAGUUGCUACUGGCAUGUUUGCAAAAUAGCACAAGGUGUAGCAAAAUAGAAGAUGAAGGUCUAGCUAUGCCAGUGCUGAGCCACACAGUUGCUACUGGCAUGUUUGCAAAAUAGCACAAGGUGUCGCAAAAUAGAAGAUGAAGGUCUAGCUGUGCCAGUCAGUGCUGAGCCACGCAGUUGCUGCUGGCAUGUUUGCAAAAUAGCACAAGGUGUAGCAAAAUAGAAGAUGAAGGUCUAGCUGUGCCAGUCAGUGCUGAGCCACACAGUUGCUGCUGGCAUGUUUGCAAUAUAGCACAAGGUGCUGUAAAAUGAAGAUAUAUUGUUAAAUAUCAUGAGAUAGAAAUAAAAGAUGAAGAUCUAGCUGUACCCGUCCCGAGCCACACUACUGCAGCCACGUUGCUGCUGGCAUUUUUGCAAAAUAGCACAAGGUCACAACAAUUGAUGUAACAAAUAUAAUCAAUGGACCAGGCACCUGCACCAUGAUUCUUUGGAAUACUAAAAUUCGUCUCUUUAUGUCUGUACUUCUCAUAAUGAAAAAUGUCACGUUUUUAUGAAAGAAAUAAUGGAAUCAAAUAAUAAAUAAAACAAGCAUAUGCUGGACGUCCUCAGAAACAGCUCCGACUUUGAAUCAGAAAUGUUUUGGUGGACGAAAUUAUUUAAAUUGUUAAAAAAUAUCUAUGCUAUUUAUACAUAUAUAUAUUUUUUUAAAUACAACCGACUUCAAAAAUACAAACUUAUGCAGAAAACUAACAAACGAAAGAAAAUAUUAUAAUAUUUUCUAUCUAUUGAUCACUUUGAAGGCGGGUCCAAUUAUCCAAUGGUCCAAUUAAUGGGCCGACAAUUAGUUAUCUAUUGUUUACUAGCUAUAGGGUUCGAAUUGCUUUUUCAUAUGUUUAAAAGACUAUCUUCGGAAUGAACCCUUUUUAAUAAAAAAGUAUUAUCAAAAUCGGACCGGUCCGACCUAUUUAACCAUUUAUAUAUUCAUUAUAUAUAACCAUUAAUUUUAGUAUACAACCGAUCGGUUGUAUACUAAAAUUAAUGGUUAAACAAUCAAUCAUUCUGUUUUCGUAAUGUAAAACCAAGCAUAACCGUAAACAUGAGUAGUCCGAUUUUGAUAAUUCUUUUGAUUGAUCAUUCUUGAUUGUUUUAGUUUAAAACCAAGCAUGUCUUCGAAUUCCGAUUUGAAUAACUUUGUUUUAAAUAGAAAGGGUAUAUUCCGACAAUGGUCCCAAAUCAUUAUAAAUUUUAAAAAAACGAAGAUGACUGGUUAUUUUCCCAUUAAUUGUAUUGUAAAACUAUGCGUAACUUAUUACGAAGUGGUCCGAUUUCGUAAAUUCUUUAUAGAUUGUAAAGGUAUUUUGAUUGUAAAGCUCCCAUAUAAAUUUUAAAAAACAAUCCUAAAUGUGCGAUUGAUUGUUUUCUCAUUCAUUUUAAUGUAAAACCAAGCAUAACUUUUUAUUGGGUGGUUCGAUUUUGAUUAUUCUUUUUUUGAUAGAAAGGGUAUAUUCCUAAAAGUCUCAUAAAAUGUUGAAAAACAAUUUCAAACCUAAUAGUAGGAAAAUAGAAGAUGAUUAAUUGUUUUCCCAUUUAUUGUAAUGUUAAACUAUGCGUAACUUUUUACUGAGAGGACCGAUUUUGAAAAUUCUUUACUUUUUGUAAAGGGUUUAUUUUGAAGUAGGUCCCAUAUAAAUUUCGGAAACCACCGGACCCAAACGGACACCUUAAGGUGGAAAAAAACGGUACGAUUGAUUGCCUACCCAUUAAUUGUACAAUUGGCACCGGCUUCAAAGUAAUCAGUAGAUAGAAAAUAUUAUAAUGUUUUCUUCAGCUUAUUAGUUUACUGCAUAACUUUGUGUUUUUGAAGUCAGUAGUGUUUAUUUUUUAAUUAUUUAUUAUAUAAAUAGCAUAACUAUUGUUAAAUAGUAUAAAUCGUUCCAUCCUCACUCCAAAAGGUUUCUGAUUUCAAAUAAUAUGAAGAAACAAACUGAACAAAUAAAAUCAUCAAAAUCAGAGCUGUUUCUGAGGAGGUAGAGGGUAAAUGCUCUAUUGAUUCGCCUAAAAGUAAUAUUAUGUUAUCGCAUUAGGUUGUAAAGUUUGGCUAAUGAAAGUAGAGACUGAAAUUGCCCGCCAAAUUUAAAAAACACAUGCGUUUUCAUAAUUUAUUUAAAUUAGUUUUUCUUUGUGAAUACAUUAUUACCUAUACUAUAAGUGUUAAACUCAGUUAUUCCAAUAUUUGCACUAUAAUUUUGAGAAUUUACUCCGAUUAUUUAAAAUUUGGCGGGUGAUUUCAGUUUCUACUUUCAUUAGCCAAAUUCUAAUAAUUUUAUUGUUUAUGAAAUUUAUACUAAUUAGAAAGAGGAAGAAAUUUGAUUAUUUGUUUGUUUGCAUUGAAUAGGCUCUGAAACUACUUUGCUGAUUUAAAAAUUUCUUACAGCAUUAUAAUCAUGGAUUAGGCCAUAAUUGUUAUCUCUGUAUUCCCACGGGAACGAGAACUACGCUGGUGAAACUGCGUGACGUUUGCAUAGUUUAUCAUAUGUACAAAUAUCCCGACAAUCUAUAUUUUUAUGUAUGAAUUGGUUAAGUUAUAAUUGACUUGAUUUUCCCAAAUAUCUCAGUGAAGUCAAAUACCCAAUUGAUGCAUAGAUAUAUUUUUAUUUUGGUUUUCAUUUUACUUUAAAGAUAAAAUUUAGUUUUAGAAGCAAAAUGAAUAUAUGUAGAUUAUAUUUAAGGUGCUGAUGUUUACUUAGUUAUUGAUUAAGUGCAUAAGAUUUUUUAUUUGAUAAUAAAGACAUUUCAACUUGAAACUGUUAUUCUUUCUAUUGUUUAAUUUAUUAUAUACAAUUACUUGUUACUAAAAUAUUGUGCUAUUAUAUUGUUUUUAAUAUUUUCACAGUUCAGCUUUUGGGGACGGAGUGGUUUUAAAAUAAAUAUUUUUAAAAAUCUGUUUAAAUUAAUUAAUUAAUCGACAGAGUUUAUAAAUAUCUGUUUAAAUUAAUUAAUUAAUCGAAAUGGUUUUUAAAAAUAUUUAUUUUAAAGCUAUUCCGUCUACAAAAGCUGAACUGUGAAAAUUUAAAAACAAUAUAUUAGCUUUGAAUUUCCCGCGUUGGCAAAUUGUUUCAAUGGGGGCAUUCCACAGAUGGCGGUAAUUUUAGUGCCGCUUUUUUUGUAUGAGGUUGGUAUUCUUCUCCUGAGUAAAU